rnacentral:rRNA from 1 species
GACGAACGCUGGCGGCGUGCUUAACACAUGCAAGUCGAACGGAAAGGCCCUGCUUUUGUGGGGUGCUCGAGUGGCGAACGGGUGAGUAACACGUGAGUAACCUGCCCUUGACUUUGGGAUAACUUCAGGAAACUGGGCUUACUACCGUAUAGGAUCUCCUGCUGCAUGGUGGGGGUUGGAAAGUUUCGGCGGUUGGGGAUGGACUCGCGGCUUAUCAGCUUGUUGGUGGGGUAGUGGCUUACCCAGGCUUUGACGGGUACCCGGCCUGAGAGGGUGACCGGCCACAUUGGGACUGCGAUACGGACCAGACUCCUACGGGAGGCAGCAGUGGGGAAUAUUGCACAAUGGGCGGAAGCCUGAGGAGGAAACGCCGCGUUCGGGAUGACGGCUUUCGGGUUGUAAACCGCUUUCGCCUGUGACGAAGCGUGAGUGACGGUAAUGGGUAAAGAAGCACCGGCUAACUACGUG